rnacentral:lncRNA from 1 species
GAUUUGAUCUAAGAUUUGAUUUAGGAUUAAGAAUUUAUCUAAGACUUGAUUUAGGAUUUGGUUUAGAAUUUAGGAUUUAUUCAGGGUUUGAUUUAGGAUUUGAUUUAAGAUUUAGGGCUUUUUUAGGAUUUGAUUUAGGAUUUGAUUUAGAAUCUAAGAUUUGAUUUAGGAUUCGGUUUAAGAUUUAGGAUUUUUCUAGGAUUUGAUUUAUGAUUUGAUUUAAGAUUUAGGAUUUGUCUAGGAUUUAAUUUAGGAUUUUUUUUAGGAUCUAGGCUUUGAUCUAGGAUUUGAUUUAAGAUUUAGGAUUUAAGAUUUAUUUAGGAUUUUAUUGAAGUCUAUUAGGGUUUCAACUAGGAUUAAAUUAAAACUUGAUUGAGAUUUAUUUAAGAUAUAUUUGUGAUUAUUUUAAUAUUUUUUAGGACUUCUUAAAGAGUCUUUUAGAAUUUAUUGUGGA